UGCCCAAAUACAGGAGUUCAUCACCUUUGUAAUAAAUGAACAUACAAAAUUUAAUGCACUCAUAACAUGUGUCAGCUCUACUCCACCAAUCUACCAUCCCAGACAGCCAAGAAGGCAACUCAAAAAACCCUCAACUUUCAAACCCCUAUUUGAAACCUACCUUAUUUUCACCAUUUAAACUACUACUGAGUAUAUAUUCACUUCCUGGAUAAGGAAUGUGCACGAUUUCUAGCCACUUGGCAUGUAUUCAAGGGAAAUAAAGAUUUGAAAUAUGUCACUUUGACACUACAAAGCUAGCAAGUAGCAAAUCAAACCUAGAUCCUUCCUUGCAUCCCCAUUUAGACAUUAAACAAGGAUAUCCUAGAUAUCCUAAUUCAGUUUCUUAUAACUCAAUGGUAUUUUGUGACCAAAAAAUAUUUGUUUAUAAUAAUCUCCUUCCAAAGGGGGUCAGCUUAAAAGGAGCAUACCAACAACCAAAGGUGUCAACUUUCUCAAAAUUUGACAGCAUUCACGAUAGAUUAU